rnacentral:piRNA from 1 species
GACGCAUGAACUACCAGGGACUCUGCUGUCU